AAUGUCACUACGGUUGCGUGCCCUUAUAAGGAGCUGGCGGGGCGUGUAUGUAUGCAAAUUCAGGUGCACGAGAACACGCGUUCAAUGUAAGAAACCUCAUUCGGAGGAGCACAGCUGAGAACACUUUGGCUGCAUAAGAACACAUUUUCAGGCGUUCAUGAAUCUGGCGGAGAUCUUUUUCUUACGUUGGUUUUACAAAGUCCCUAAGAAACAUUUCAGAAGAAACUUCAGAAAAUGUUCGAGAAUGAGGCCCAUUGUCUUCAUCAGCACUAAGUUAUAAAUAUUAUGCAUAGUGAGGUCUUUCAUCACAUUUCAUGAAUUAGCUUCACACUCUGAUAUUGUUUAUGUCCUGCUUUAGAGUUGUUCUACAGCUUAUGAUAACUGGACCAUCUGUAAUAGAGACUUCUGAUUUAUCUUUCUGUGUGUGUGUGUGUGUGUGUGUGUGUGUGUGUGUGUGUGUGUUUGCAGUGGGAGGAGAGAGUCCUGCAGAUGGUGAGUAUGAGAAAUGCCAACCUAAUACACUCUGGAAACUAAACCCGCUGUCCAGCAUGU
ensembl:lncRNA